UACAUAUUCAUAACCUGGCACUUCUAGGAGCUGGGGUAGGCAUUAGGGACCAGUGGAAAAAAAAAAAGUUGAUUUAUGAUGAUCUCAAAAACAUGCUCUCCAAAGAUGUAUUCUGCAGCUCCGAGACCUCAGGUUUAGGCUCUAUUAAUUUUACAGAGCUGUCUGGGAUUACCCAUCUGUUUAAAGGUUAACUGUCUUCACACUUAUGAAAUGGGUAUUUCUGUUUGGGUUCUUACUUUGUUCCUGUUAAUGAUUUAUAAAAUACAAAAUGCAAAGCCAGUGAAAUAGCUUUAAAUCUUCAGGAUGAAAUACCUACCUGACCACAUUUUUGAGAGACACAAAGCAUUAUUCAAGUCCUUUGCAGCGACAACCUGGAAAUUCUGCUACUUGACACGUCUCAUUUUGAAUAGAGUGAAAGGAAAACAUCAACCAUGCAAAAUCAUGUAUUUUAGAAAGGAAAAUCCAUUUGGGUGAGUGUUGUAUGGUGUAUGUGUCUGGGUAUUGGAAGUUGCUUCUCCCGUCGCCCUUCUAGAAUGUUUUCUCCAUAGAAUAUUAUCCAAAUAUACGCCUUUCAGUAUCUGAACAUGAUUAUGUUCUUACGUGCAGUUCUGUUACCUUUCUAGGAUUUUAUUUCCUUGUAUAAAAAAGCACAUAAUUUUUCUCUCUUGAUAGUUUUGGAAGUAUGACAGCUUGCUCUGCAAACCUGAUUUUGAACGCUCCAUGUUGAAAAUUGUGUGACCUCAGACCAUUUCUUAGUCAAUUGUUUAGCUUUUGGUUCUGUUGCUAAUAGGAUCAACUCAGGGAGGUAAUUACUCAGAUUUCAUUAUACCCUGAGCACUCUAUCGAUGUGCAGUGUAAUCUGACAUCUCAAAGGACCUGCAACUUCACCACACGCACGCGUGCCCCUUGGUGGCAUGGGGGCCCGGCGAGCUGGCCUGGGGGCACAGCUGCCUGCCCAUCCACCUUGUCCUGAGUCUCUGGGUUGGGUUGCUAAGCUUCUGCCAGAGGCUUGGCUAGGAUUAGGGUUACCAUGGUUACCUGAGAGUAGCCCCAUGGGGUGGACUAGACCCAGGCUCUGUGCUCCAAUCCCAACUUUUUGGGUUACAUAAUCCUAUCAGUGAAAGUUUUUGAGCACCUCUUUCUCUAGAUGCACAUUUACCAUUUCAUAAAAUGGUAUGCAUAUUAAUAUUAUAAAUUGCAUUAUAAAGCACACAUAACAUAGAAACUAAGGUGAUCAUGUGUGGGUCAAAUAAAAUAUUUUUGUUAUUUAUUUUUUAUCUCAUUUAUUAAUUGUACACAAAUAUUUUUGCUUUCAUCUUCUAGAGAUCUGCAUUCAUGCUCUGGAGGCUUAGCUGUAAGACAUAGCAUUAAUUAUAAUGGUUUUCUACCAUCAUUAACUAGAUUUCAAUGUACAACGUGAACUGAAGGUGAGUUCAUCAUUAACAAUGGAGGAUGGGUCAAAUUUCCACUGUUUGUGUUUUGUGAUUUGGCUGAGCAGGGAAGGGUCACUCCUGUUUUCUUGUAGCUAGUCUAUACCUUAUUAGGACUAUCUUCAAGUCCCAUAUUCUGUGUACAAAUCUUUCUCAAGCCACCUGCCCCUUUCGGUGAGUACAAAUUCGGUUAAACCUAAGCAAUACAAUCUUAAGUCCCCUUGACUGGUCACAGGUAAACUGUACCCUGCGAUAAUUUGCUAACUUGCCCUGUAGAUUCCCAAUGGGUUAUCUCGUUGGGGUGUGUGAUCACUGAUUCAGCCAAGGAACAAAGCACUUGAGUGUAAUUUUAGUAUCCCCAAAAAGUAUAGUAUCUGCAGAAAGCAUUCAUUACAGACCACAGUUCCUGGAGUCAGAAGCCCAGGCUGCUGGCGCCACCACUUCCAGUCCCAGAAAACUUGAGCAAGUUAUGUCACCUCCGGGCAGCUCAGGGUUCUGUCUGUGGAGUGGGGGCAGUAGCAGUAUUUAAACAUCAAGGUUUAUGAGGACUAAAUGAGUUGAAGCAUCUAAAACUGUAUCUGUUAGGUAGCGAGUGUUAUAAAGUGCUAGCUAUUUGUACCAUGGGCAUCAUUAUUAUUGUGACUGUAAUAUGAGUCCAUAUCUUGCAUUGAACCUGAAUUUAAAUGAUUGUGACAAAUAAGAAAGAUUAAGAUGUGAGUCAUAGGUAUUUGACUUAAAAAUCUGGGACUUGGUUAGAAUUAGUUUGGGGGUUCUGGGCACAAACAUAAAUGGUUUCAGGUUAAUUACACAAGGGACAGGCUGGCUGCAGUGGCCCUCUGCCUCCCCCCUCUGCCUCCCUGCCCACCCUGCUCUGAGACCACGCCUUCCACAUAACCACCUUAACACAGGUGUUUCAGUUUAGCACAGCAAAGAGGUUCUCCUAACUUGUCCACAAUAGAUAUUGUUUAAAAAUUGAAGUAUGCUUGAUUUACAGUGUUAUGUUUUUUGGACGUAAAACAUUUAGCAUGUGUGUGUGUGUGUGUGUUUUCUUUUCAGAUUCUCUUCCCUUAUAGAUUAUUACAAGAUACUGAGUAUAGUUCCCUGUGCUAUACAAUAGGUCCUUGUUGGUUAUUUAUUUUACAUAUAGUAGUGUGUAUAUGUUAAUCCCAAACUCUUACUUUAUCCCUUCCCCCUUCCUUUUCAAUAACCACAAGUUUAUUUUCUAUGUGUGUCUAUUUCUGUUUUUGUAAAUAAGUUCAAUUUAUCAUUUUUUUUAGAUUCCGCAUGUAAGCAAUAUCAUAGAUAUUUGUCUUUGGGUUUCAUCACUUAGUAUGAUAAUCUCUAGGUCCAUCCACAUUGCUGAAAAUGGCAUUAUUUCAUUCCUUUUUAUGGCUGAAUAGUAUUCCAUUGUGUAUAUGUACUACACCUUCUUUAUCCAUUCCUCUGUUGAUAGGCGUUUAGGUGGCUUCCAUGGUUUGGUUGUUGUGAAUAGUACCACUAUGAACAUUGGGGUGCAUAUAUCUUUUUGAAUUAGAGUUUUUUCCGGGUCUAUUCAUGCUAAAUAUUAUGCUCAAGAUUUGCUUAUACUUCCCAUAUUCUUUCUUGAUGUUCUAACCUUAAUUUUUCAUCCUUAAAUCUCAGAAAGAAGAUGCUAAUAUUAAAAAAAGAUUUUUUUAAACUUUUUUUUUUUGUCUUUUUAGGGCCCCAAUCUGGGCAUAUGGAGAGUCCAAGGGUAGGGGUCAAAUUGGAGCUAUAGCUGCUGGCCUCCACCACAGCCACAGCAACACCAGAUCCGAGCCAUGUCUGCAACCUACACUGCAGCUCACAGCAAUGUUGGAUCCUUAACCUACUGAGUGAGGCCAGGGAUUGAACCUGUGUUCUCAGGGAUACUAGUCAGAUUCUUCCCUCUGAGUCACGAUGGAAACUCCAAAAGACCUCUUUUUUUGAAUAAAUAAAAGGUAGGGUAAUUUUUGAUUAACAGUGCCAACAACACAAAAUGCUAUUCUGACUUAACUUGCUAGUUUCCCUAUGGCAUAGCAGUAGCCAGGGUUGUAGGUAAAGAAAUCAGUAACAACCAUCUGAAGAGUUCAGGCUUCUUUAGACAACAGAGGCUGAGGAUUACUUUUGUGUCUAACUCUGUCUUUCUCCCUCACUCUGUUCUUUAAGACUAGCCUUCUGCAAAUGUUCUCCAGCUGUUGAGAAAUUGUUUUUCAGCUGGAGGCAGCCAUUGUUUUUAAGAGAUUGAUUCAAAUGCAUAGGGAGUCCUGGGGACCAGUAUUUGCAUUUAAACAAUAAUUAUUAGAUGCUGAAACUGUGGCUACAUGAGGCAAGAAUUUCUAAUUAUCCUCUAUUAUUUGGGGGCCAACUUUCCCCCAGCUCUCUCUGAGCAUAGCAGCCGCGCACACACCAGAACAGACAUGCACAGUGUGCCUGCUCUGCCAGCCCCAGGCCUGUGUCCUCUGGAUGCCCCCGAGUUGACCCCAAAUUUGUUUUGGUUCAUUCAUGACCCCAAGGACAGACGUCCACCUCAAAGCUCUGCUGAAUGAUGCCGUAACCUUUGGCGUCCCUUAGCCUUUAAUGCAACUGGGCUGUGGAAGGCGCAUCCUGGAGCUGCUUCCAGAGCUGGUUGAGAGCAGCCACUUGGCUGCAAUGGUCACAGCAGUGGUCAGGGGCUCAGUUUCAAUGGCCAGAUCUGAUGACCUUUCUAGUGACUCUGAGGCCCAGGCAAGAGGCCUGUGUGAGUCUUUAGGGGCCAAAGCUAUCAUUCAAAAGGGCAUAUGUGAAUGUUGGUUAUUUCAGUCAUACAGUAUGACAUGGCUGUGCUGAGAAUGAUACAAAAGUAAAAUAGAAAGAAAUAAAAGCACAUAAAUAAGACUAAAAUAAAAAUUACACAUGAACAUAAAAUACAAACAGUCGUAAAGAGGUCACAUACCUUGAGCUUCCUAAAUAGUAAGGACGCAGCAACAUGCAUGGUUUCCUUUUCUCUCUCUUUUUAUUGUCAAAUAUUUAUUUAUUUUGGCUAUGUCUUGGGCACGUGGACAUUCCCGGGCAAGGAACCCUCACCACAGCAGUAACCAGAGCCAUAAUAGUGACAACGCCGGAUCCUUAGCCCAAUGAGCCAUAGAGAACUCCUCUCUUUUUAAAAAUUUCUUCUAGGCAGUUUCCACUGUAGCUCACUGGGUUAAGAACUCAACAUAGUGUCUGUGAGGAUGCGGGUUGCAUCCCUGGCCCCACUCAGUGGAUUAAGGAUCUGGCGUUGCCAUGAGCUGUGGGGUAGGUUACAGACACCGCUGGGAUCCUGUGUUGCUGUGGCUGUGGUGUAGGCUGGCAGUUGUAGCUCCGAUUAGACCCCUAGCCUG
rnacentral:lncRNA from 1 species